UUCCCUAAGGAAGUGAUGAGAUCAGCAGGGAGAGCAAGAGUCAAUGAGGCAAAGAGAUUGGGGUUGAGGAAGAUGGUUGCCUGUCAGUGAGGACACUGAGCGUAGCCCUGUGGAGAGGCUGACAGGAUGAGGAACUGAGGCCUCCCGCCAACUGCCAGCACCAGUGUGCCAGGCCUGCGAGUGAGCACAUCUCACAGCCCCAGGAAGCCCCAUCAACAGGGCUGCGUGUUCCUGGAGGAUGGGAACUGUGUCUUAUCAUUCUGCUGCCCACCAUAUGAUAGUGAAUGAAAGAUAGGAUGUGCUGGGGACUCAUAUGAGAAGAGGAGGUUGAGAUCUCUGCAGCAGACAUUCCCAAACCUGGUGGAGCAUCAGAACCAGGGUCUGCCUUCCUAACAGGCUGUAGGUUCCUCAAGGGUUGGGACUGUGCCUGUGUUCUGGGCACCUGCCCAUGCCUGGCAAUUUGAAGAAGCUCAACUGCUGCAUGUUGAAGGACUGAAUAAUUGCAUGAGCAACCAUCGAUAAUUGCAUGCUACAACCAUCGAACUUGCAGGGUUCUUCCAUGGAAUAAGUGAGCUUCAGCACCACAGAAGAGACCAGAGCCUGCCUUACCAGCUCCUCUAGCACCGAACACGUGCCAAUUCAUGUCCUGAAUGCUCACUUCACUUCUUCACCUUGCUUCACUUCACUUACAGCACGGGAACAGAAAAGCCUAGAGAGGAUAGAUUACCUGUCCGGGUGCCUCCCACUGCAGAGUGGGCGUGUCUUAGGAGCUUCUCUUCUCCUCCAGCCCGGUGCGGCCUCGUGUCAUCCAUACGACCCACCGGCAGAGGGCAGGGCCCGCGAGUGGGGCCAGCCUCCUGGUGACUCUCGCCUCCUCUCUUCCAGCGGACGCUACCAGAGGGCGAAGGUCUGACUCUGGCCAACGGCCCAGAAUUUCUGGCCCAGUUUUGCUUGAGGAAGCCAAUUGUGCAGGAGGUCAGGAUCCCGGUAGGGUGAGAGUGGGAAAGUUAACAUUCCCAAGAGACUCCAAGCAACAGGAUUUCCUGACCUGGGACUAUCACCUUUCUCACAUUACAUGGCCAGAUUUACUUCCUGCUAUUAUUAAAAGUAUGAAAAAGA